rnacentral:rRNA from 1 species
UACGGGGGGAGCAAGCGUUGUUCGGAUUUACUGGGCGUAAAGGGCGCGUAGGCGGCCAUCGCAAGUCGACUGUGAAAUCUCCGGGCUUAACCCGGAAAGGUCAGCCGAUACUGCGGGGCUAGAGUGCAGAAGGGGCAACUGGAAUUCUCGGUGUAGCGGUGAAAUGCGUAGAUAUCGAGAGGAACACCUGCGGCGAAGGCGGGUUGCUGGGCUGACACUGACGCUGAUGCGCGAAAGCUAGGGGAGCGAACGGG